CGCGAAUCGCCCUUGGGGUGCAGCAGGCGCGAAAACUUUACAAUGCGGGAAACCGUGAUAAGGGGACACCGAGUGCCAGCAUCAUAUGCUGGCUGUCCGGGUGUGUAAAAUACACCCGUUAGCAAGGGCCGGGCAAGACCGGUGCCAGCCGCCGCGGUAACACCGGCGGCCCGAGUGGUGAUCGUGAUUAUUGGGUCUAAAGGGUCCGUAGCCGGUUUGGUCAGUCCUCCGGGAAAUCUGACGGCUCAACCGUUAGGCUUUCGGGGGAUACUGCCAGGCUUGGAACCGGGAGAGGUAAGAGGUACUACAGGGGUAGGAGUGAAAUCUUGUAAUCCCUGUGAGACCACCUGUGGCGAAGGCGUCUUACCAGAACGGGUUCGACGGUGAGGGACGAAAGCUGGGGGCACGAACCGGAUUAGAUACCCGGGUAGUCCCAGCCGUAAACGAUGCUCGCUAGGUGUCAGGCAUGGCGCGACCGUGUCUGGUGCCGCAGGGAAGCCGUGAAGCGAGCCACCUGGGAAGUACGGCCGCAAGGCUGAAACUUAAAGGAAUUGGCGGGGGAGCAC
rnacentral:rRNA from 1 species